UUUGUAAUUGGUUUCACUUCAUUAUCUAUAUAUAGUUUGGUAAGAAACUUUCAAAAAUUGACGAAUUAGACAAGUUUAAAACUCCAUGAACUGUAACAUUUUAGGCUAUGCCAAUGAUUGUUGAGAAAACUAUAUCACUCAUCUAAUCCUUUUUUGCAGCAAAUCUUGGAUGAAUAGUGAUUUUAAACCUAGUCCAUCUCAUUGAAAGAUUAUCAUCCUAAAUUUGAA
rnacentral:misc_RNA from 1 species